CUUAGGGGUUUGAAGUGACGGACAUCAUCACAUU
rnacentral:misc_RNA from 1 species